AGGGAGGACUCAUUGCUCUUGCAUUGCUUGUGUGUUUCCUUAUUGCACGGUUAGUAUACUAUGAUCACACUGAAAAUGUAGUUCCCCUUCGAAGCAGGCGGGGAUGAAGAUGUUUAAGUUCUCAACGGACACGGUGCUGAAGAUCUGAUACUUUGAACAUUGUGCUUUUCCUCCCUCUUGUACUGGAUGUGGCUUAACACUGUAUUGCUUCAGGUCGUUCCCAAUUCUGCUCUGCGAUGCAAAAAUCGCAUGAGAUUAGAUGUGUAGACUUCGAUCGAUCUAGGGUGUAAUGUACUUUCUAGCACUGUCAGUAUGUUCAUAAAAAUUUAACCAAUUUCCUUAUCAGUAUCACUGCCAGUAUAUGAAGUAGUAGUACCUACGUACUAAAUGUGUCUUCACGCAUUUCAUCAAUGUUCUAAAGCAGCUAAAUGUUUAAAUCCUCUAUGUAGCUAGGACUCAACGCUUUCCACAGAAAUCGACCAAAGAACAAUAUAGGGGGGGAUUUGGGUACACCAGAGAAUCGCGUACCUACGAUUUGGACCGCUCGCCCGUGUUGCCCGCGUCGGUCGUCGGAGCCGCGAAAGCCCCGCUCAUGCGCGAGGGAGAGCUCGUGGGGGAAACCGCCGCUACGCUCUGCUGCGCACGGUACCGAGGCGGCGGCGCGAAGCCGGCCGGGUAGAACGAGUGGCGAGGGCUCAACGGGUAAAUGGAACACGCACGCCGUACCCGGACGGCCGCCGCG
rnacentral:lncRNA from 1 species